GGGGCUGUAGCUCAGUGGCAGAGUGCUUCCUUGCAUGUGGGAGGCACUGGGUUCAAUUCCUCAGCACCA
rnacentral:tRNA from 1 species